AAUAACAGUAAGAGGUGCAAAAAACGGAGAUUCGGUCGCUCAGCAACGUAAGUUAUCGGAAGCUAACUUCAGCAUCGUGAAAAGUCCGCAGCUGCGUUUGUUUGUAAUGGUGUGGGUCUUUCAGUGUGACGUCACUCGUUUCGUGGAGCUACAACACUUUCGUUUUCAUUUAUCAGGAAGAAGCAGCGUUUAAAGUAAAGCCAGGAGAAGGUGAGACAAAUGGGUCAUGAAUUCAUAUUCAGGCAGUGACGCAGAGGAGCUGCAUUAGACAAGUCUGCAAACUGAAGCUGAACAUUGAAAAUUCUUUGUGUUUUUAAGUAUUAAGUACCACAAUUGUGUUUUUUAAUUUAAAUAUCCUGUCUUCAUGGUUAUAGUGUACUGAAGGGAAUGAAAACCAGCAGUGUGUGUGCUCACAUGUUCAAUAACACAUAUCACUUCAAACUGUUGUAGAGUGUGUAACCAUUUGCAGAGUAAUUUUUUCCAUUUCCAAGACAUAAGCACUUUUUAGAAACUAAAAAUCAGUGCUUAGAAAAUGCAGGUUGAGUUCCAGCAGGCCUGUAUGAUUUUCUGUGUAGGGGAAAGUAAAAGAAUGAAAAUGAAGGACAGACUAUGCCAGUUCCAAAUAACCACAGCCUGUUGCUCUCUGCUGUAUUGAGGAUGACCACUUAUUAUUAUACAGCACAGAAUGUUGUUAACAGUAUGUAUAAUUAAUUCCAUUAAAGCAAUGUUAGUUUAGUUAAAACACAACAUUUACAUAUUUAUACAACACAUAUAUAGUAUAUUACCCCCAAUAUAGUAUAGAGAACAUGAAAGCAAUAUUAUAACUAAGGAGCUAACUUCAACAUCACUGCAAUUUAAGUAUAAAUAAGUAAUCAUUUGCUUUUUCUCUGUUUUGAGACUGUGCCAGUGGAGUCAUUCACUUUGUAUUUCUAUUCUUACAAUUCUAGAACAAGUUAUUUUUAAACCAGACAUUUUACUAAGCUGAAUGGCAUGGAGGAGUUUCUGCUAUCUUGUUAGUAAUACACUGGCAUUUACUGUAGCAUGUUUUCUGGCUCUGAUGACUUUAUCACAAGACGAAGAUGAAGUUUAAGUCGCUCUCUCAGUCAGGUGGUCAGAAGGUGCUCAACCACAGAAAUGUAAAGUAGAAUUAGAGAAGGUUCUUCAGACUUGGUCCAACAAUUUAAAGGAGAAUGCUACAUUUCAAAUGUAUCAGAAGAUGGGAGAGCUGUGAUAACGCUUAAACCUGCUGCAGCCCUGAGUAAGCUUCAGAAAUUGAGUGGACAAACACUGACCAGGUGAGAUGGGAGAACCAUCACAAUAAUGUCUGUUAGUGUGACACCACCAGAGCUGAAGACACAAAUACCAGAGGAAGCUUCAAUGGACCUUCCUGCUUCAUGCGUUUCAGAGCCACAAGAUCUGCGAGUGAAGUAGGUGGAACAAAGUAGUUUCAGCAGUGCAGGAGCAGUUUCUACAGCAGUAGAGGAGACAUUUCCUUGUUCUGUCCCAGUGCGCCAUUACUGGUAUGUGAACCACAUCUACAAGGAGGAAAUUCAACAUAUCGAGAAAGAGAAUGGAGUUCAAAUGGAGGCAGAAGUGGAUGUGACCUGAGAACAAGCUCAUGCUUACCCUGUCCUCUGAAGAAAUGACCGUAUGUGGGCCAAGACAAAAACAAGAUGCUAUCAGUAAGUACUUAAAUGCAUAACAGAAAACUUCAACACUUCACUGAACAUAGGCGGGAGCAUCAAAGACCCUCUCGUUGUUGCUGGACUAACCAUGGAGGAGGGCUACUUGAGGUUGAUGACUACUUCCUACGAUGAGCACGUAGCCAUCAAAGCUAAGUUUGGUGUGGACUUGAAGGAAUCAGUCAAGGCAAAGUCAAAGCUUGCUACAAAAGAUCUGUGUCAAUGGAGAGCCACGCUGUCAGAGCUCUCCUUCAUCUGUACCAGAAGACUGCCACAUCACCUCUGAGCUUCACUCAACACUGUGGUGCCACUGAAAUUCACUUAAGAAUUUUCAUAUCCUGAUAGUAUUUACAACAUGUAUUUACAGGAAUGCACAUAUGGCUGUAUGCUCUCUGUUCUUGUUAUUUUUCAUAUCAGUAGGGGUAUUGAGGUGCACCCGACAGCAUUAACAGCUUUAGACUUUAUGGUUUAGUAACAUGUAUUAUCCUCACCAAUAAAGUUUUCAGUAUAAGACUUAAAUCUGCAUAUAUCAGUGUAACUGUAUUUAAUGUCUACAGUACACAUGGUCUGAUUUACUGUUUUCUGUUUUUCUUUUAAUGCUGAAGUAUUUUUAAAAGCAGGUUCUUUUGUUCUUUUACUCAAAUACAGGAUUUUUGUACUUCAUCCACCACUGACCUAAGCUUUUAUGUAUACAGCACACAUGGUCUGAUUUACUACCUAAUAAAUUAUUAAUCAACCUACA